AAGAGCACGACAUUGCUCACAUUGCUUCCAGUAUUAAGUUGCCCGCCUAGUGCGGGCUUUUUUUU
rnacentral:antisense_RNA from 1 species